CUUUUUUUUUUUUUUUUCUCUUUUAAUUCCCUUAUUAAUCAAAUGGUUUGCAGAAUCUUAUACAGUUUGGAUUUUAUGAUAAGAUAUCAUUGACAGCAUCGGGGUUUAGAAAAUAAAAAUAAUUCUUAGAAAUCAACAAUCGCCGCCGAUGAAAUGCGUGGGUAGAUGUCACACUCUUACGCUAGACUUUCUCAAUAAAAGCAAAGGAAACAGUAUCUGUGGUGGAGGAAGUCAGGUCGGCCCCCAGGCAGAGAGACACAGACUCCGGUGAAAAAGCGCCCAAUUUCAUCACUGCAAAUCACAAAACCCUGAUGCAAACAUAAAUAUCUUUGUUUCAUAUCCGUCCAUGUUCCUUCUCAGACACGUUUCUUCUUCCUGUUUCUAUUCUACCAUCAACCACUUUUACU
rnacentral:misc_RNA from 1 species